AUUGAACGCUGGCGGCAGGCCUAACACAUGCAAGUCGAGCGAGCGGCGGACGGGUGAGUAAUGUAUGGGGACUGCCCGAUAGAGGGGGAUAACUACUGGAAACGGUAGCUAAUACCGCAUACUAUCGGAUAACCCAUAUGGGAUUAGCUAGUAGGUGAGGUAAUGGCUCACCUAGGCGACGAUCCCUAGCUGGUCUGAGAGGAUGAUCAGCAACACUGGGACUGAGACACGGCCCAGACUACUACGGAGGCAGCAGUGGGGAAUAUUGCACAAUGGGCGCAAGCCUGAUGCAGCCAUGCAGCGUGUAUGAAGAAGGCCCUAGGUUUGUAAAGGACUUUCAGGCGGGAGGCGGUACCGACAGAAGAAGCACCGGCUAACUCCGUGCCAGCAGCCGCGGUAAUUC
rnacentral:rRNA from 1 species